CGAAGCCAGUUCUCUUGCUUUUUUUCUCUCCAUUCUUCCCAUCUAAUCAGCGACUGAUAUGGGUGCAAUUCAUUAUCAGGUAGAACAGAAAACAAAGCAGUCGUCCGGACCUCGUGAGGACCUGAGCCUUAGGACCAUGCCUCAGAACUACCUGGCCUGAUGACUCCUUGCUGUCCCCAGUCCACCUGGUCAUGCUGCUCCAGUUUCAACUGUUCUGCCUGCAGCUAUGGAACCCUGACCUGUUCACUGGACAUGCUACCUUGUCCCGGCCUUCUUCAGACUAAACUGCGCAAACUGGCUCUAACCAGAAUAGAAAGAGGAGUGGGAGGCCCCGGUGCACAACUGAGCAAGAGGACAAGUAAUAUUAGUGUCUAGUUUGAGAAACAGAUGCCUCACAAGUCCUCAACUGGCAGCUUCAUUAAAUAGUACCUGCAAAACACCAGUCUCAACGCCAACAGUGAAGAGGCGACUCCGGAAAAUGUCUAAGUGACCCCAAACCUUUGAACGGUAGUGUGUGUGUAUUUGUAUACAGUUGAAGUCUGAAGUUUACAUACACUUAGGUUGGAGUCAUUAAAACUUGUUUUUCAACCACUACACAAAUUUCUUGUUAACAAACUAUAGUUUUGACAAGUCAGUUAGGACAUCUACUUUGUGCAUGACACAAGUCAUUUUCCAACAAUUGUUUACAGACAGAUUAUUUAAUUUAUAAUUCACUGUAUCACAAUUCCAGUUGGUCAGAAGUUUACAUACACUAAGUUGACUGUGCCUUUAAACAGCUUGGAAAAUUCCAGAAAAUGUCAUUGCUUUAGAAGCUUCUGAUAGUCUAAUUGACAUAAUUUGAGUCAAUUGGAGGUGUACCUGUGGAUGUAUUUCAAGGCCGACCUUCAAACUCAGUGACCUUUUGCUUGACAUCAUGGGAAAAUCAAAGGAAAUCAGGCAAGACCUCAGAAAAAAAUGGUAGACCUCCACAAGUCUGGUUCAUCCUUGGGAGCAAUUUCCAAAUGCCUGAAGGUACCACGUUCAUCUGUACAAACAAAACAAACGCAGCUGUCAUACUGCUCAGGAAGGAGACGCGUUCUGUCUAACUAGAGAUGAGUGUACUUUGGUCCGAAAAGUGCAAAACAGUCCCAGAACAGCAGCAAAGGACCGUGUGAAGAUGCUGGAGGAAACAGUUACGAAAGUAUCUAUAUCCACAGUAAAACAAGUCUUAUAUUGACAUAACCUGAAAGGCCGCUCAGCAAAGAAGAAGCCACUGCUCCAAAACCGCCAUAAAAAAAGCCAGACUACAGUUUGCAACUGCACAUGGGGACAAAGAUCGUACUUUUUGGAGAAAUGUGGCCAAACAGAAACUAUUUUGCCAUAAUGACCAUCGUUAUGUUUGGAGGGGAGGGGGGGGCUUGCAAAACAGAACAUUAUCCCAACCGUGAAGCACGGGGGCGGCAGCAUCAUGUUGUGUGGGUGCUUUGCUGCAGGAGGGACUGGUGCUCUUCACAAAAUAGAUGGCGUCAUGAGGAAGGAAAAUGAUGUGGAUAUAUUGAAGCAAUCUCAAGACAUCAGUCAGGAAGUUAAAGCUUGGUCACAAAUGGGUCUUCCAAAUGGUCAAUGACCAUACUUCCAAAGUUGUGGCAAAAUGGCUUAAGGACAACAAAGUCAAGGUAUUGGAGUGGCCAUCACAAAGCCCUGACCUCAACCCUAUAGAAAAUGUGUGGGCAGAAGGGAAAAAGCGUGUGCGAGCAAGGAGGCCUACAAACCUGACUCAGUUACAACAGCUCUGUCAGGAGGAAUGGGCCAAAAUUCACCCACUUUAUUAUGGGAAGCUUGUUAAAGGCUAAAAUUUAAAGGCAAUGCUACCAAAUUGAGUGUCUGUAAACUUCUGACCCACUGGGAAUGUGAUGAACGAAAAAGCUGAAAUAAAUCAUUAUCUCUACUAUUAUUCUGACAUUUCACAUUCUUAAAAUAAAGUGGUGAUCCUAACUGAACUAAGAUAGGGAAUUUUUAUUAGGAUUAAAUGUCAGGAAUUGUGAAAUACUGAGUUUAAAUGUAUUUGGCUAAGGUGUAUGUAAACCUCCAACUUCAACUGUAUGUAAACUCAGCAAAAAAAUAAACAUCCCUUUUUCAGGACCCUGUCUUUCAAAGAUAAUUCGUAAAAAAUAACUUCACAGAUCUUUGUUGUAAAGGGUUUAAACAAUGCUUGUUCAAUGAACCUGUCACGAGUCCGACCGAGGGUGGUUUCCCUUCCCGGUCGGGUGGCGCUCGGCGGUCGUCGUCACCGGCCUAUUAGCUGCCACUGAUUGUCUUUCCUCCCGCUCCUUGUAUGUUUAUUGGUAGCACCUGUUGGUGAAUGAUUAGUUUGUCUUUAUUAGACAGCCGGCCCGCCUGGUUGUUGUGCGGGAUUAAUGAUUGUAACCUUCUGCUCUAAUGUAGAGGAACGUGUUUGUUCCUGGUCGUGAAAUUUCAGUUGUACCUUUCUCAUUCCCCGUAUUUGGGGCCGUUAUUAUUGUGAGCACCCUGUGGUGCGUUGGUGCAUUAAAAGAGCACAGCCUUGCA